GUGAGUCAUCGAGUCUUUGAACGCACCUUGCGCUCCAUGGUAUUCCGUGGAGCAUGCCUGUUUGAGUGUCACGUCAACCCUCAUUCAUGCGAUGUCACAAUCGCAUGUAUGGAUUUGGACCGUGUCGUAAUCCGACUCGUCCCGAAAUGCAUUAGCUUUGCGCUUUUAGAGUGCCGGGCACCGGUGUGAUAAUUAUCUGCGCCAACGCCUUACGCCUCUUCAGCGGCGCUGCUUACAGCCGUCCUGACGGACAACUAUUUUAAAGCUUUGGCCUCAAAUCAGGUAGGACUACCCGCUGAACUUAA
rnacentral:rRNA from 1 species